UGCAUUUUUAUCUGCAAUUUUACAAUCUAUAGUUUUGUUUUUCAAAUUAAUCUCAGAUUGGUGUGCUUGGUGGCACUGAUAUUCUGGCGAAUGAAGGUGAUAAGACUUCUCUAAGUCAAAGACACAGAGAAUCAGUAACUGAGAGCUCAACAGAUGCUGAAACUUCUAGAGGGCCGGUUGGAGAGGUGAUGAGAGUGUUGAUCAUGGUUGGAUUUGCAACACUAAUUUUCUUCACUAGACAAAGGAAACCAGGUACCCAUGUCUCUAGUUGUUCAUAGGUUAUUCAUUGUAUCUUGUAAUACAAAGAGAAAUGUGCUGAAAAAACUGUUUUUUCAGACAACUAAGCUGAUGGAGCUAUCCAUUUUCUUUGUCAUCAUGAAAGUAAGGAAAAUAUUUUAUUUGU